rnacentral:lncRNA from 1 species
CUCGGCUCAGUCUCCUUCAGUACCUUUCUUUUUUUCUCCACCUUCUCUUCAUUGACCUUCCCAUUCCCACGCUUUUUUGAUCCUUUCUCUGUGUCCUCCUCCUUCUCUUCUUGAAUUUUCUCCUUUUCACUGCUCUCAUCUUUGUCUUUAGAGACACCAUCUUCUUCCAUAGCAUCCAAUUCUGGUUUCUUAGCUUCUACGCUUUUCUUUUCACUGUCCACAGUUUCCUUUCCUUUCCCUUUCACCUUCUCUCCAUUGAUCUUCCCUUUCCCGCGCUUUCUCAAUCCUUUCUCAACUUUACUAUCAGCUACAUUUUCUUCUUCUUUUGACUUCUUAACCUUAUCCUCAUCCUUCUCUUCUUGAAUUUUCUUC